GCUUGCGUGGUCCAAUGGUCAGGAUUCUACCCUUCCAAGGUAGAGGUCCGUGUUCGAUUCACGGCGCUUGCA
rnacentral:tRNA from 1 species